rnacentral:rRNA from 1 species
UACGAGUGCCCCAAGCGUUAUCCGGAAUCAUUGGGCGUAAAGGGUGUGUAGGUGGUCAUGUUAGUCUUCUGUCAAAUUCUUCGGCUUAACCGGGGGCAUGCGGAGGAAACGGCAUGACUAGAGGAUGCGAGAGGUGAAUGGAACUCAUGGAGUAGGGGUGAAAUCCGUUGAUAUCAUGGGGAACACCAAAAGCGAAGGCAAUUCACUGGCGCACUCCUGACACUGAGACACGAAAGCGUAGGUAGCGAAUGGG